AACGAACGCUGGCGGCAUGCCUAACACAUGCAAGUCGAACGAGACCUUCGGGUCUAGUGGCGCACGGGUGCGUAACACGUGGGAAUUUGCCUCGGGGUAUGGAGUAACUCAGGGAAACUUGAGCUAAUACCAUAUAAUGUCUUCGGACCAAAGAUUUAUCGCCCUGAGAUAAGCCCGCGUAGGAUUAGCUAGUUGGUGGGGUAAAGGCUCACCAAGGCGACGAUCCUUAGCUGGUCUGAGAGGAUGAUCAGCCACACUGGGACUGAGACACGGCCCAGACUCCUACGGGAGGCAGCAGUGGGGAAGUAUUGGACAAUGGGCGGAAAGACCUGAGUCCAGCAAUAGCCGCCGU
rnacentral:rRNA from 1 species